rnacentral:rRNA from 1 species
GACCCCAGUCAGGUGGGGCUACCACUGAGUUUAAACAUAUAAAUAAUGCGGAGGAAAAAAACUUACAAGGAUUCCCUUAGUAGCGGCAAGCGAACAGGAUCAGCCCAGCUUGAUAAUCGGGUGGCUUUGUCGUCGUCUGAAUAGUCUGGAGAAGCGUCCUCAGCGGCGGACCGGGCCCAAGUCCCCUGGAAAGGCGCCGGUGUGAGUGAAACCCGUCCGGCUCCGGACCCUGUCGCUUCCUGGCUGUCGGCCGAGUCAGGUUGUUUGGGAAUACAGCCCCAAUCGGGCGGUAAAUUCCGUCAAAGGCUAAAUAUGGCGAAGACCGAUAGCGAACAAAUACCCUCAGGAAAGAUGAAAAAAGGACUUUGAAAAGAAGUCAAAAGUGCUUGAAAUUGCCGGGAGGAAAGCGGAUGGGGCGGCGAUACACCUUGGUCGGAUGCAAAACGGCGGUUAGCCAUCCGCCCGCUUCUUUCGAGUCUGCGGAUCGAUCGGGGCUGCAUCGGCAACCGAAAGCUUUCCAGACGGAUCGUUCGUUCGAGGAUACCGUCGAUCGGUCGAGAGACAUGGCGCCAGCGCCAUCGUCGUGCCCGCGAGGCCUGCGUCGCGACCUAGGCAUCGGCCAGUGGGCUCCCCAUCCGACCGUCUUGAAACCACGGACCAAGGAGUCGACAUGCGUCGCGAAAUCGGCGGGUGCGGAAACCCGGAAGGCACAAAGGAAGCUAACGGGCGGGAACCCUCUCGGGGUUGCACCGCCCGGCCGACCCGAUCUUCUGUGAAGGGUUCGAGUUGGAGCAUGCAUGUCGGGACCCGAAGAUGGUGAACUAUGCUGAGGCGAGGUGAAGCCGGAGAAACUCUGGUGGAGGCCCGGCGAUCUUGGCGAUGCAAAUCGUUAAAUCGACUUGGGUAUAGAAGGCGAAAAAAACUAAUCGAACCAUCUAGUAGCUGGUUCCCUCAGAAGUUUCCCUUAGGAUGGUUGGAGCCCGUCGUGAGUUCUAUCGGGUAAAACCAAUGAUUAGAGGCAUCGGUAGGCAGCGCCCUCGACCUAUUCUCAAACUUUAAAUAGGUAGGAUGGCGGCGGCUGCCCGUUGAGCAGCGUCGUGGAAUCGAAAACUCCAAGUGGGCCAUUUUGGUAAGCAGAACUGGCGUCUGGGAUGAACGGGAAGCGAGGUUCUGGUGCCCAACUGCUUGCGCUAACCUAGACACCACAAAGGGUGUUGGUCGAUUAAGACAACAGGGCGGUGGUCAUGGAAGUCGAAAUCCGCUAAGGAGUGUGUAACAACUCACCUACCGAAUCAACUAGCCCCGAAAUGGAUGGCUGGCUGAAGCGCGACCCACCCCGACCAUCGGCUGGCGGCCAAACCCGAUGGUAGGAGGGUGCAGCGGUCACCAUAAAAACCAAAGCCGAGAGCGGCGGAAGCGGCCGUCGGUGCAGAUCUUGGUGGUAGUAGCAAAUAUUCAAAUGAGAACUUUGAAGGCGAAGAGGGAAAGGUUCCGUGUGAGCGGCACUUGCACAUGGGUUAGCCGAUCCUAAGGGCGGGGAAGCCCGUCCCAAGCGUGUCUCAGGAGCUCGAAAAGGAAUCGGGUUAAAAUUCGAGCCGGGGGGGAUCGCGGCGGCGGGCGGGCGCAGCGUUAGGAAGUCGGAGCGCCCGGCGAAACUCGAGGAAAAGUUAUCUUUUCUGCUAACGGCCCGCCCACCCUGAAGCAGCUUAGCUAGAGUAGGGUCCAGCGGUGGAAAAGAAAAGCGCCCGCCGUCGCGGCGUCAGUGCGCCCGGCGGCCCCCAAAAUCGGGAGGACCGAGUGCCGCCAGCGCCCGGGUCGUACUCAUAACCGCAUCAGGUCUCCAAAGGUGAACAGCCUCUGGCCCAUGGAACAAUGUAGGCAAGGGAAAUUGACAAAAGCGGAUCCGUAACCGGAAAAAGUUGGCUCUGAGGACUGGGCACGGGGUCCCGGCCCCGAAUCCGUCGGCUGUCGGCCCGGACUGCUUUCGAGCUGCUCUCGCGGAAGCGGUCGCCCAGCGAUGCCGGCCGAGGGCGGACCGGGAAUAGCCCCCUCGAGGGCUUCCCCGGCGUCGAACAACCGACUCAGAACUGGAAAUGCGGACAAGGGGAAUCCGACUGUUUAAUUAAAACAAAAGCAUUGCGAUGGUCCCCAUGGAUGCUCCGCAUAAUGUGAUUUCUGCCCCUAGUGCUCUGAAUGUCAAAGUGAAGAAUUUCAACCAAAGCGGCGGGUAAGCGGCGGGGGUAACUAUGACUCUCUUAAGGUAGCCAAAUGCCUCGUCAUCUAAUUAGUGGCGCAUGAAUGGA